rnacentral:rRNA from 1 species
AUGAACGCUGGCGGCGUGCCUAAUACCUGCAGGUCGAGCGAACGGACGAGAAGCUUGCUUCUCUGAUGUUAGCGGCGGACGGGUGAGUAACACGUGGAUAACCUACCUAUAAGACUGGGAUAACUUCGGGAAACCGGAGCUAAUACCGGAUAAUAUUUUGAACCGCAUGGUUCAAAAGUGAAAGACGGUCUUGCUGUCACUUAUAGAUGGAUCCGCGCUGCAUUAGCUAGUUGGUAAGGUAACGGCUUACCAAGGCAACGAUGCAUAGCCGACCUGAGAGGGGGGAGAGACAAAAGGGGACGGAGAACGGGGCCAGGCCCCCGGGGGGAGGCAGAAGAAGGAAAUGUGCGGAAGGGGGGGGAGGCCUGGGGAAGCAACCGGGCGGGAGGAAGAAGGGUCUGCGGAUCGAAAACUUUUUUUAUGGGGGAAAACAAGUGGUGUAAUUACUUGUGCACUGUUGGCGGGUACCUAAUAAAAAAGCAACGGCUAACUACGUG